UACGGGAGGCAGCAGUGGGGAAUAUUGCACAAUGGGCGCAAGCCUGAUGCAGCCAUGCCGCGUGUAUGAAGAAGGCCUUCGGGUUGUAAAGUACUUUCAGUCGUGAGGAAGGUGUUAAGGUUAAUAACCUUAGCAAUUGACGUUAGCGACAGAAGAAGCACCGGCUAACUCCGUGCCAGCAGCCGCGGUAAUACGGAGGGUGCGAGCGUUAAUCGGAAUUACUGGGCGUAAAGGGCACGCAGGCGGUUAAUUAAGUUGGAUGUGAAAUCCCCGGGCUUAACCUGGGAAUGGCAUUCAAGACUGGUUAGCUAGAGUCUUGUAGAGGGGGUAGAAUUCCGAUGUGUAGCGGUGAAAUGCGUAGAGAUGUGGAGGAAUACCGGUGGCGAAGGCGGCCCCUGGACAAAGGACUGACGCUCAUGUGCGAAAGCGUGGGGAGCGAAACAGGGAUUAGAUAC
rnacentral:rRNA from 1 species